rnacentral:rRNA from 1 species
UACGUAGGGUGCGAGCGUUGCUCGGAAUUACUGGGCGUAAAGGGCGCGUAGGCGGUUUGCUAAGUUGAAUGUGAAAACUCUGGGCUUAACCCAGAGCCUGCAUUCAAUACUGGCAGGCUGGAGUUCUGGAGGGGAUAGCGGAAUUCCUGGUGUAGCGGUGAAAUGCGUAGAUAUCGGGAGGAACAUCUGUGGCGAAGGCGACACCCUGGACCAGCACUGACACUGAGGCACGAAAGCGUGGGGAGCAAACGGG